GAUGGACGCUGGCGGCGUGCCUAAUACAUGCAAGUCGAGCGAACGGACGAGAAGCUUGCUUCUCUGAUGUUAGCGGCGGACGGGUGAGUAAAACGUGGAUAACCUACCUAUAAGACUGGGAUAACUUCGGGAAACCGUAGCUAAUACCGGAUAAUAUUUUGAACCGCAUGGUUCAAAAGUGAAAGACGGUCUUGCUGUCACUUAUAGAUGGAUCCGCGCUGCAUUAGCUAGUUGGUAAGGUAACGGCUUACCAAGGCAACGAUGCAUAGCCGACCUGAGAGGGUGAUCGGCCACACUGGAACUGAGACACGGUCCAGACUCCUACGGGAGGCAGCAGUAGGGAAUCUUCCGCAAUGGGCGAAAGCCUGACGGAGCAACGCCGCGUGAGUGAUGAAGGUCUUCGGAUCGUAAAACUCUGUUAUUAGGGAAGAACAUAUGUGUAAGUAACUGUGCACAUCUUGACGGUACCUAAUCAGAAAGCCACGGCUAACUACGUG
rnacentral:rRNA from 1 species